CAUAAAAAGAGUUUCUUCUAUUUGUGAGAGGAAACAAACACAUAGAGAUAUGAAAAUGAGUUCAAGAGAGUUCUGAAUCUGAGGGUGAGAACUGGGAAGCACACGGAUCGGUGACGUGGCAACACAAGAACCGAACUCUUCAGCAACUCUCUCUCUAUCUCCGAACUACAAUUCAUAAUUCUGCAGCAGCUCCUCUCAGCUACCGCUCAAUACUGCUCAUAAUUUCUCAGCUACCUCUCACAUCUUCUCAAUCUUCUCUCGUUAUAUAUGUAUCCUGCUGGCGCCACGGCUUCUUCUCCAACAUUCUUCUUCGUUAUCUUUGCCUACAUCACCGAUCCAUUUAUUAGCUGCAGACCCACACACACAAGCAGAUCACAAAGAUGGAUUCUCGAUUGGAAUCAAACAUAUGCUAAAGCUCUUGCUGUUGAAGAUAAGAAAUAUAAUGUUGAUGUCGAAUUGGUAAGAAGGAAACACAAAUUAGAAUCUAUGACUUUAAUAUGUUUGUUUUAAUGAUAGCAUUGUUGGAUAUCUUGGCAGUUGGCAAACAACAAUGGAACUCAACCCCUUUUUUUUU